rnacentral:lncRNA from 1 species
UUGCCCAUGAUUAAAUGCUAAAAUCGGAGUAAGAAGAAGAAAAUGCAAAGGAAGCUGUAGUUCUGGACUAUGGAGCAGCAGUAGAGGGUGCUGGGGUUGGUAUAUAAGUGCUGCAAUGCCCUAAUUCUAUGGUCUCUUUUUGAACGGUGUGCUAUUGCGUAGUAAUCUCAGCCGUAGAUUUGCAGCUUCGAGAUGCGCUUAUGAGGAGGGUAUUUUGUU